rnacentral:rRNA from 1 species
AACAAACGCUGGCGGCGUGCCUAAUACAUGCAAGUCGAACGGGGUAGCAAUACCUAGUGGCGCACGGGUGAGUAACGCGUGGAUAAUCUGCCUUAGAGUGGGGGAUAACUAGUCGAAAGAUUAGCUAAUACCGCAUAAGACCACAAGAGCUGCGGCUCAAGGGGUCAAAGGUUUUUCGCUCUAAGAUGAGUCCGCGUAAGAUUAGCUAGUUGGUGAGGUAAUGGCUCACCAAGGCGACGAUCUUUAACUGGUCUGAGAGGAUGAUCAGUCACACUGGAACUGAGACACGGUCCAGACUCCUACGGGAGGCAGCAGUAGGGAAUAUUGCACAAUGGAGGAAACUCUGAUGCAGCGACGCCGCGUGAGUGAUGAAGGCCUUCGGGUCGUAAAGCUCUGUCGCAGGGGAAUAACACAAUGAAUGUACCCUGUAAGAAAGGAUCGGCUAACUUCGUGCCAGCAGCCGCUGUAAAAC